ensembl:lncRNA
GAGCCACCUACCAGGUCUCUCCAUAGGUCCUUUGCGGGAUUCUUUCUAAAGCACAUUUGCUUGCUCUGCCGUCUUGCCUGAGUGAAGAACCGCCAUCGUGAACAGAAUUGAAUUCCUGGAGGAGGGCGGCUGGCUCCAGUUCCGCCAGGUCUGGAGAGCAACGCUGAGACCAGCAGGUGGAGACCGUGGGGAGCCUAACAUCCUAAUGUCAGCUCGCCUCGGGGAGCACUUUCCCCCAUGGGAAGCUCACCAAGAACAGAAAUACCAGCUUGCCUUGGGAGAGACUUCACAAUGACUCUUCAUGGCUACAAAAUCCCAGCAUGUUCCUUUGCCAAACCAAUCCUUCAUUGCCGAUAUAGGAGAGACUUUCAAUCUUGAGCUAUGCUUUGAGGCCAGAGCCAGAUAAAGCAGGAACUCGAUACGUGUUUGUUUUCUGACUGAUUGUGAAGGAGACUUCAAGAGCAUAAGGUACAGGAUUACUGGUAGCAGUGACAUCCACCCUGCGCAGUUCCCAUGGGAAAUGAAGUCACUCCCUUUUCUAAGUCCUGCCUAGGGAAUGAGAGGCUCUGUGGGAAAGUCUACAGCCGUGGCACUGCCAACAUGAGUUUAUCUAUCAAGAGGAAGCUCAGACAUUCCCAGUGGCAUCUUUGCAGGAUGAAGGACUUCAAGAGGCUCAGAUGCUGCUGUUGCUGCCUCUCUCAUUACAGGCUGAACUCAAGACAGGCCUGUGAGGCCCCCAACAGGAGCCAAGAUGAGUUUUAAACACAAAAGAGGUGGCUUCCUCUUUUGUCACUCUGGAGAGUGACAGAUGUCACACAUGCCAAGUGUCCUGUGCAGGUUUCCAUUCUCAUUCAUACUCCCAAGGCUGUUCAUUUCCUUCCCAGCCAACUGCCCUCUGUCCUUUAUGCUCCUUUCCAUUUGUCACCCCAUGUGCCCUUGGCACAUUCUUACGGUCACUGAGGAAACAGCAGCCUUCCCUGAUUAUAGUAUGGAAAAGCCAAUCCUGACAAUUACAGAAAGUGGUACUGACAGUGAAAAGGAGAAGAGUUAUUGCAUGGUGAGUGUUUGACACCUUCCUGGAGCCCACCUCUCUGAAAAGGAGGAUCACUGACUCGUGUGGCCAAUGGCAGACACUGUUCAUUUUCUCUCUACUUCAAGUCUCUCCUCUGAGUCUACUAUAAAAAUACCACCAAAUUUUAAAUGGGCACAGAACCACUUGGAAUAAAGACCACAUUUCCCAGUCUCUUCUGAGACCAAGUAUGGCCACGUGACCACACUCUGGUCAUGAGAUCCAAGCAGAAGUGGUUUGUUCAACUCCUUUGUUUUCUUUUUUUUUUCAUAUAUAUAUAUUUUUUUGGUACCAGGGAUCGAACUCAGGUCCUUGCGCUUGCGCAGGAGGCGGCGAAACCACUGAGCUAAAUCCCUGGCUCCUUUUUUCAUAUUUUUAAAACAUGGAACUACAUUUGUCCCUCAGUGUCUAUGGGGGGAAUGGUGUUCCAGAACACCUGCCCACCUCAGAGAUACCAAAAUUCACAGAUGCUUGUGUCCUUUCUAUAAAGUGGUGUAGUAUUUGCAUAGCUUAUAUAUAUCCUCCCUGUGUGCUUUAAAUAAUCUCUAAUGACUUAUAGAACUUAAUACAAUGUAAAGCCAUAUAAUAGUUGUUAUACUGUAUUAUUUAGGGAAUAAUAACAAGAAAAAUGUACAUAUUGAGUACAGAUGAAAUUUUAAAAAAUCAAUAUGUAUGCUGGGGAUUGCACCCAGGCAUAGUAGGCAAGGAUUCUGACUACUGAGUUACAACCCCAUGCAUUUUAAGUUUAAUUUAAUUAAUUUAUUUUAUUGGUAUGUUUGCAGUACAUGAUAUUUAUGUUCAUUUUGGAGUAUUUUCAUUCUCUUAGAAAAGUGAUUGCUGAAUUAGUGGGUAGAAGUAUGUUUAACUUUGUAAGACAUUGCCAAAGAGUUUUCUUAAGUGGCUGUCCUAUUUUACGCACUAUCAGCAACAUGCAAGAGUUUCAGUUGCUUUGUGUCCUUACUGACAUUUAAUAUUAUUGGUCUUUCUAAUUUUAUAUACUCUAGUGGAUGUAUAUUGACAUCUUAUUGGUAUAUAUUGCAGUUUUCAUUUCCAUUUCUCAGUUGACUGUUGACUAGUGAUGUUCAACAUUUUCAUGUGCUUAUUGCCAUUCAUAUUCUUACAUGUGGUGUCUGUUUAAAUGUUUGCUCAUUGUAAAAUUGGGCUGCUUGUGGUUUUCAAAAAGCUUUUUUAUUGAGUCAUAAUUUACAUGUCACAUGACACAUUUCUAAGUAUGGAAUCCAGAGUUUUCACAGAUUCAUAUGCCUGUUUAACCACCACCUUGAACAGCAUAGACAUUUCUCUUAUUUCCAAAGGUGCUCUAAAUGACUCUUCGGAGCCAAUCUUCAUCUUUUUGUUUUGACUCCUGACUUCAACCAGCCACUGAUGUGUUUUUGUCAUUAUAAUUUUGCCUUUUGUAGAAUUUCUCAUAAAUAGAAUUAUAUAGUAUGUAUUCUUUUGUAUCUAGCUUUUCCACUUAACAUAUUGUUUUUGAGAUCUAUCCACAUAAUUGUGUGUAUCACUAAUGGUUUAUUUUAAUAGGUAACAUUUCAUUAUAUGGAAGUGCUACAAUGUAAUUAUUCAUCUGUUAGCUGAUAAAUGGCACAAAUGGUGGGUUGGUUCCAGUUUGGAUUUAUU